AGUGUUCUCAGAUAUGUAAAGCUCAAUUCGAAUUGUGUCUUUCAUUGUUGUUGUUUUCAUUGUUGUUGCUUGUUGGUUAUUUGUUUUGCUUUCAGUGCCAACAGAUGUCACCUCUGUCCUCUUUUUCCAACUCCAGAAUACCAUCUAAGGUUAUUCGGGCAUCAUUUGUGGCAAGAGAAUGAUCAUAAAUAACCAUAGAGGUACAAAACGUUUUACCUUGCCAAGAGCAAGCUAGAAAGGUCUGAACUUUAAAUCAGAUUUGGUACAUGGAGAAACAAUAACCAAAAGUAUGUUGCUGAGACUUAUUGAUUAAGUGGGAAACAAAAUUACAUAUCUACUUAGUUGAUAAAUCAAAGUGCUUAGGGGUGGGACCAGGAGAAAGAAGUAUGGAGAUGUGCCAGGAAGACCUCAAGAUAGAUAAGAAGUCAUUUUUUGUGAGCUGCAGGACCCUGGUUUUAACUUCCACUUAGGGAUCCAAGUGAAGAGAUUUUUGUAUCUCUUGGUUUUUAAAUCUACCACCCUUCUUCUCAAAAUGAUGCAGCAUACCUCCAAAGGCUGUGAAACUGCCAUUUAAACAGGCAUCAGCUACGUAUGCACCCCCAGGCACCAAAGGGCUUUAUGAACGCUCUGGUUGUUGUAUGUCGGAUAAUAUAUCCAGGAGGAAAACAACAUGAAAAGAUCGCUUAAAUGAUCAAAACAGAAACGAUGAAUAAUGACACGACACUGAAGAAUUUCUGAGCACUGAACCAGUAACAAAGCACACGUCUCAAUUUUCCUCAAACAGAGCCUGUCAGAAAAACAAAGCAAAUCAAAAACAAGUAGCACAGACAAGUUUUCUGUCUCACAGUUUUGGUCUUUUGCCUGCUGCUUUGAAGAGUUGAGUUGCAUAAUAGCUUGUAUGAACUGUUAACAUUUUAAUUAUUUAAAAGGUCAUCAAUGUGUGGGAAUGCUACGUUAAAGCUAGAGGAUAUUUUUGAAAUCAAACAGAAAAGACAGGAACAAGAUACAGGCAAACCCGUAAAUGAUAGCUAAAGUGGAGAUAUACACCUUACAGAGAAGCCUUCAUGAAUACCACUGCUCUUCACUCAUUCCCUUGCCUCUGAUAUUGAAAAACUAUCUUAUGAAUAAUCAUGUUACAAGUCCUAGCAUUCCUAUCUUCUUGUUUAACAAAAUAUCCCUUGUUUUAAUUUUACUGUUAAUCUACUGAGCUAUUCAUUAAAUAUCCAGUUACUUUUGAUAAUUUUAGAAACUGUACGAUGAAGAGGAAUGAUAAUCAACAAUUUUAAAUUUUGUGCUACUUUUAAAUGGAAAUUAGGAGUUGAUUAUAAAAACAAAAUAUUUUAUGCUUCUAAGAAAAAAUGUAACAAAUAAAACACUCUUGUUUUUGAGUUGAAGUGGGCUGGAAUAAGUACUGAAACAAGCUUCAACAUCUGUAGAACUGCCAUAGACUAUGGUACUCCUCUGUGACUAGGCUGCCUUCAAUAAUGAUUUAAUGAUAAAGCUAGUGCUGUCUGAUACUCUGAAAUACUUAAAGAUUUCAGAGAGACAGAAGACUGCACAGGGCUUGAAAAAGCUUGCUAAAGACAGUGAAAGCAGAGAAGAAUUAGAAACUCCUUUAAAACAUGAAAUUGAAGUGUGGCAUUACAGCAAUAGUUUCAGAGUAUUGGUAAAAUCAGUGUGUGCAUCUGUGGGACUCCAUCUCUUUCCUUUCUUAGCAAUCCUUGGACACUGGAAUUUAAAGUUUAUUUGGGAUAUCCUUAUGAUGCAAACACCAUUUUACUGGAAUAGUAAAGCGUAAUGUAUGCAAUUAACUGUAUAUUCCUAAAGUUUUGGUAUCCCUGUGUUUUGUACUGCACCAGAGAGAUAUAAUUAACCAAUCGUUGGGUUGAAAAGGACCUCAGAGUGUAUCUAGUUCUAACCCCAUCCGGGCAAGGUUGCUAAUCGCUAGAUCAAGCACUAGAUUAAGAUCAGCCUCUGGCUAAAUCCAUUCCUGGAGCUCUUUCAGAAGUCUGGGCGUUUGGAAUCAUUUCUUUGGGUCUAGCUCACUGAACUGACACAAUAAAGCUUCUCUCUAUUUUCUUUCAAGGAUAGACUCUUGAAAGGGGCAACGACUAGCUGUAUGAUGGAUAGUAGAGCAAUAUUUCCUGUAAGAUCUAAUGUAAUAGUAGUGAGGAUGCAUAUAUAGACUUGAAAUGCUCAUAAUUUAAACACAGAGAGAUAGGGUGAAUGACAAGGGGGAUGGAAAAGCAGGAAGAAGGUCAUCAGCUAGAGAAAAUUCUGGCUUCUGUGCAGCUGGCUUUUCAGAGCUGAUCAUUGCUCUGACAGAUCUCAGCUGCUUCACAUGUAAGAGUGAAUAUACAGAGUAAAUUUUCAGAAUGAGCACUCUAGCUACCAUAGAUUUCAUAUUGACAUUGUCAAUUGACAUUACCAUAGUUUGACUUCAUAUUCUUCAGAUGAGCUGCGGUUAAUUUAGAAUAAGAUAGAAUAGGGUAAAUAAAUGGUUGCAAGUGGUAUCAAACUCAAAAACGACAGUGUAAGAGGCAACUGAGAAUGGAAUUCUGUUGCAAUUCAAGCACUCCUCUGUGCUUCUCUCUUCAAAUGCAAGCACAUUUAAAGCAUUAUUUUGCCACUAAUUUCAUUGAAGAAAAUUAACAAUGCCUGCUCAGGGAAGAAAACCAAUUCACCAUCCUUUUAAGUCAGAGUACUAUGUGCAGGUAGCUUGGUAGUUUUACACUUUGGCUUUUUUCAGAAUAAUAUAUUACAGUGACUCCCUAGGACUUUCUUAUGCAGAUCAUUGCUCUGUAGAGCUGAUGGCUACUGAAGAACCUUUGCAAUGGGCCUGGACACAGAUCUUACCAAGUGAUUCUAUGAUUCUAAAAGUCUUUGUGGGUAAGACUUGAAUGCUCCAUCUGUCAGAUCCUAGCAAAUACCUAAGGUGGAAUUUUCACUGGAGGUAAAAAUCUGCUUUUGGGCAUAGAUUUGAUGAGCAGGUUGGUGUAAGUUUUGCAGGCAAAAAAGGAGGCAUGUGAUAAACAGAGAGUGAGGGAUGGCUGUGAAUAUUACAAGAGUGGUCAGGGGCUGGAAUUUGGGAGAGAAUACAGACAGAUAGAUAAACAAAGGAAAAAGGUUUGAUUGUUACAUAGUUCUGAGUUGACAAUGUAUUGAGCAUUCACAUCCAAUACUUAAAAAAUGUGUUUUGCCAUUUACAAAAAGAAAAUAAAA